UACGUAGGGUGCGAGCGUUAAUCGGAAUUACUGGGCGUAAAGCGUGCGCAGGCGGUUUUGUAAGCCAGGUGUGAAAUCCCCGGGCUCAACCUGGGAAUGGCAUUUGGGACUGCAAGGCUGGAGUGCGGCAGAGGAGACUGGAAUUCCUGGUGUAGCAGUGAAAUGCGUAGAUAUCAGGAGGAAUACCGAUGGCGAAGGCAGGUCUCUGGGCUGACACUGACGCUCAUGCACGAAAGCGCGGGGAGCAAACAGG
rnacentral:rRNA from 1 species